GGGGGGAGACAAGAUGGCGGCUGCGGGAGGGGGUCCUCGCUUCUCAGCUCCCCCGCUCACCCGCCUUCUCCUUCCCUGCCGCCGCCCUCGCUCCAGGAGAGAGCUUUCGCACCGCCCCCGCCCUGCUCGGAAAGCCCCCCGCUUCUCCGGUUUCCCCCCGUGCAGUCCCUGGUCCCCGAAGGCCCCGAUGCCCCCGCCCCCGCUCUGUCCGGCCCCGCUGCCGCCCCCAUUACCUCAGCCGCCUGCCCGGCCCCACCGUUCGGGGCCCCUGGGCGCGGGCGGGCAGGCCGCCGAGCAGGUCGGCGCGGCCCGGGAAGCGGAGCGCGGUCUUCUCCCGCGCCUGCCUCCGUGGCCUCCGCCGUGCCCCCUCCCGGCCCGCGCUGGGGCCCCGGCCCGGCCGCCGCCGCCGCUCCCGGGGGAGGAGGGGGAAUGGAGCCGCCGCUGCUGCCGCUGCCGCCACGGAGCCCGGCCGAGGGGAGGGAGGGAUCAGCCCCCAGGCAGGAUCCGCCCCUCCGGCCUCCCCCCGCCACCUCCACCCCUUCCCUCGCUCCCUCCCUGACUCUGCGGGCUCUCCCGCUGAACAGGAGCGAGAGCGCGAAAGAGGGGGAAACGGGAAAAAAAUCCCCCCGCCCGUGCCUGGCGCGGCGGCGGCCGGGGCGGUGCGGAGAGGAGCGCGGAGGCGCCGCCGCCGCCGCCACGGGGCACCAUCCCCGGCUCGGCCUCACGGUGGCGGUGCGGGCGCGGCGGGGACACCGAGCAAGAGACCGGGUCUGCGCCCGCCGCGAUCCCUGCGCACCACGGCCCUGCCCGCCACGGGGCGAGCCCGAUAAGAGGGCUGUGGACGUUCGGGUCUAGUUGGGAGAGACAGGGGUCCCUGACUCUUGAGCGGUCAGUCAUUUCCUCCCCAGUCCUUGUGGGUGACGUGGCUACGGUUUGGAGCAGCAAGCCCCCUCCCCGAACUAAAGGGCCUCUCCAAAGGUUAAGCCAGGGCAGUCAUUGAGGUCAAAACCAAUAUGUAGUUUCUUGACUGCAGGUGCCUGCACGACUCCCAGAAAGUCGCGUCUCCCCUAACCCCCAUGCCCAGGACCUGAGGACAAAGGUCUAGCGAUUGUCCAUCCCCUCCCCCAGUGAGGACAGCCGGGAAAGACCUGCCUUUGUUGUGUACAGGUGGUAUCUCACUGUGUUAUCCAGACUGGACUCAAAUUUCUGGGCUCCAAUGGUCCUCUCACCUCAGCCUCCCAAGUAGUCAGGACUACAGUGUUGCUGUCCUCAUUUUACAGAUGAAGAAACUGAGGCCCCAGAUCACAGGGCUGGUGAGAAGAACGUGAUAUCUCCAGAGCUAACACUUAACUACUAUAGUGUACCACACAAGGAGAGAGCAGCAUUAGAGAGGGGUGCCACUUCCUCUGAUGGAAGAUAAAAAAGAAAGAUUGCCAGCCUGGGCAACAUAGUGAGACCCUGUCUCUACAAAAAAUAAAAAUAAAAAAAUUAGCUAGG
rnacentral:lncRNA from 1 species